rnacentral:lncRNA from 1 species
CUGCAUAUCUUCAUUAUUUUCACAUUGUUGUUCUGGUAAUCAAGAGGGAAUUCCUUAUUUGAUAAUACUUCCAAUUUUGAAAUCGAUAUCUCAAAAAUGCUUGGUUAUGAAAAAUGAUCCAGCUGAAAUGAUAAACAAGAAUUUAAUCAAUCGAUCGGAUAUUCAAAUGCAAGCACAAAUUUUUUUUUUUUUUGAAAUAAAAUGCAAGCACAAAUUAAA